UACGGAGGGUGCAAGCGUUAUCCGGAUUCACUGGGUUUAAAGGGUGCGUAGGCGGAAUGGUAAGUCAGUGGUGAAAUCUCCAAGCUUAACUUGGAAACUGCCGUUGAUACUAUCAUUCUUGAAUAUCGUGGAGGUAAGCGGAAUAUGUCAUGUAGCGGUGAAAUGCUUAGAUAUGACAUAGAACACCGAUUGCGAAGGCAGCUUGCUACACGAUCAUUGACACUGAGGCACGAAAGCGUGGGGAUCAAACAGG
rnacentral:rRNA from 1 species